UAGUCCACGCCGUAAACGAUGGAUACUAGCUGUUCGGACUUCGGUCUGAGUGGCUAAGCGAAAGUGAUAAGUAUCCCACCUGGGGAGUACGUUCGCAAGAAUGAAACUCAAAGGAAUUGACGGGGGCCCGCACAAGCGGUGGAGCAUGUGGUUUAAUUCGAUGAUACGCGAGGAACCUUACCAGGGCUUAAAUGUAGAGUGACAGGACUAGAGAUAGUUUUUUCUUCGGACACUUUACAAGGUGCUGCAUGGUUGUCGUCAGCUCGUGCCGUGAGGUGUCAGGUUAAGUCCUAUAACGAGCGCAACCCCUGUUGUUAGUUACCAGCAUUUAAAGAUGGGAACUCUAACAAGACUGCCGGUGCAAACCGUGAGGAAUGUGGGGAUGACGUCAAAUCAUCACGGCCCUUACGUCCUGGGGCUACACACGUGCUACAAUGGUAGGUACAGAGAGCAGCCACUGCGUGAGCAGGGCGCGAAUCUAUAAAA
rnacentral:rRNA from 1 species